rnacentral:rRNA from 1 species
AAGUUAGAACGCUGAAGAAAGGAGCUUGUCUCUUCUAUGGAUGAGUUGCGAACGGGUGAGUAACGCGUAUGUAACCUGCCUGGUAGCGGGGGAUAACUAUUGGAAACGAUAGCUAAUACCGCAUAACAACAGUUGUUGCAUGACAGCUGUUUAAAAGAUGCAAUUGCAUCACUACCAGAUGGACCUGCGUUGUAUUAGCUAGUUGGUGAGGUAACGGCUCACCAAGGCGACGAUACAUAGCCGACCUGAGAGGGUGAUCGGCCACACUGGGACUGAGACACGGCCCAGACUCCUACGGGAGGCAGCAGUAGGGAAUCUUCGGCAAUGGGGGGAACCCUGACCGAGCAACGCCGCGUGAGUGAAGAAGGUUUUCGGAUCGUAAAGCUCUGUUGUAAGAGAAGAACGGGUGUGAGAGUGGAAAGUUCACACUGUGACGGUAUCUUACCAGAAGGGGACGGCUAACUACGUGCCAGCAGCCGCGGUAAUACGUAGGUCCCGAGCGUUGU